CAGCCCCAGUCUCCUCCCACAGGAGCCUUCAUCCAGCAUGGAGUUCUUGGCUCUGCUCCUCUGCCUGGUGGCAGCGCCCUGCUGUGUCCUGUCCCAGGUGCAGCUGCAGGAGUCAGGACCUGGCCUGGUGAAGCCUUCAGAGACCCUGUCCCUCACUUGUGCCGUCUCUGGAUUCUCUUUAACCAGUGAUGCUGUCAGCUGGUUCCGUCAGGCUCCAGGGAAGGGGCUGGAGUGGAUUGGUAUCAUAUGGAGAGGUGGAGGCACAAAUUAUAACUCAGCCCUUCAGUCCCGAGUGGGCAUCAGCAGGGACACUUCCAAGAGCCAAGUUUCACUAACACUGAGCAGCCUGAGAACCGAGGACACGGCCGUGUAUUACUGUGCAGGAGACACAGUGAGGGGACGUGUCCGGUGUGAAGUGCGGCUGGUGGAGUCUGGCGGAGGCUUGGUGCAGCCUGGGAGGUCCCUGGGACUCUCCUGUGCAGCCUCUGGAUUCACCUUCA